CCUACGGGGGGCAGCAGUGAGGAAUAUUGGUCAAUGGACGAGAGUCUGAACCAGCCAAGUAGCGUGAAGGAUGACUGCCCUAUGGGUUGUAAACUUCUUUUAUAUGGGAAUAAAACGUUCCACGUGUGGGAUUUUGUAUGUACCAUAUGAAUAAGGAUCGGCUAACUCCGUACCAGCAGCCGCGGUAAUACGGAGGAUCCGAGCGUUAUCCGGAUUUAUUGGGUUUAAAGGGAGCGUAGGUGGAUGGUUAAGUCAGUUGUGAAAGUUUGCGGCUCAACCGUAAAAUUGCAGUUGAAACUGGCAGUCUUGAGUACAGUAGAGGUGGGCGGAAUGCGUGGUGUAGAGGUGAAAUGCUUAGAUAUCACGAAGAACUCCGAUUGCGAAGGCAGUUCACUGGACUGCAACUGACACUGAGGCUCGAAAGUGUGGGUAUCAAACAGGAUUAGAUACCCGAGUAGUC
rnacentral:rRNA from 1 species